ensembl:lncRNA
UAGAUCAGAGUGGUCAAAGUAUUUCAUAGUUUCCGAGACGUCAUUCAUAAAUCCAAGAACCAGGUCUCCAUCCACAGCUUCAUGACCCAACCUGAGUACGCCGCAGACGAUGAAAUGUCACAGUCCUUCCUGAAUCAAGAGGAAAGUCCUUCGUUGGCUUCUAAGUCGCGGAUUACCAAGCGCCUGUCGGAUGCUGAAACUGUUUCACAGAACAACACGAAUAACAAUGCCGUGGACUGCCACCAAGUGCAAAUCGUUGCCUCCCAUCCCAACAGCCCUCUACAAAGCCAGGAGACACCGGUCUGAACGUCCAUCCUCUGAGUACCGUCCCUGCUCUCCCCUUUUUCUCUUCAUCUGUCCUAUCUGUAUGUGAUGGUGGGACUUGUCAUUGUUUCAUCAGCUGCUCCUAAGCAUGUGAGAACCCCCACCUGACCAUGAAGAAGCACAGACCUACAUGGAUUCGGUCAGACCUUGGGCAGGUAACAGUAGCUCCGCUCCCCAGGCGUACCAGUUGUCAUUUUAAAGAAGUAGUGACAAUCCUCUUGGCGUCGCCCAACCCAAAGUCUCCCCAGCAUCCCCCACACAUGCCACCACCCCCUUCUGACUUGGAGAUUUCACAAGCUAAGUCGUGGGCUCGGUGAGAGACAAACGCCCCAUGUUCGCGUUUCAGUAGAGUGACUAUCCUUAAAAUGUUCUUUCCUAUUUUGAAAAUGUGCACACUAAGGCCUCUAGCUCUUUCUGCCCUUCAGUCUGACGUCCCCCAGGGUUCUUUGGAUCUCACCUGCCCCUUACCAUCUUCCCUUUCAUCCACUCUUCCCACUCUCUUUAUGUCGUGGUAAUUACAAGAAUGGAAAGGGCAUGGCCAAACUGAGUCAAUUUGACCCUUACUGGCCCCAGUAGAACCUUUCAUUUUGUUCCAGAGGCAGGCAGAUUUCUUUUCUAAAAUGGUCUUUUUGGAGCAAAUGAGCUAGUGAAAUAUUUCCCUAUUCUUACCAGGUCAGCACCAACUUCUGAAUGUCUUCUUGGGUGGAUAGGGGUUUUUAAGUGCCAGGGAAAUCAGCCAUGACCAUAGGCCUGAGCUUCCUUCUUGCCUGGGGUGGUAGCAAAGAGUGAGGGGGCCAUGACCCUGCCUUCCAGCUGCUCGAGGAGCUUCAGGAUCAACAUGGGGCAGGCCUAGGACCAGAAGUCACUGAAGCAGACUACUUUCAAGGGUUUCAUUUGUUUGCCAAGGCUCUCCCAGAGCAGGAGCUUCCUUCUGUCGUGGGAGGCGAGGAUGAAUGUUAAGAACCCUUGGGAAGGACUAAAGCGCCAGUCCUUCAGGAGCUACACUUUGUUGUGUCCCACAACAUUUUCCGUCUCUAAGGAGGUCCCCAACUUUUGCAAACAUUCUAACGUUGAAGAGAGGAGGCGCCCAAACAGCAUGCUGAGUCAAGGGGCUAAAGGCCCUCCCUGGAAAGCUUCCUGCCCCCACCCCCAACCUCUCUGUCUUCACAUACCCUCCUCCAGGGUCUGUCUCCACUGCUGCCUGGGAAAGUCUGUGCCUUUCUGCCCUGAACACUGCCCAGAGCACCCUCUGCCCAGCAGCCUCUCGGGAGCCGGGAACUUCACCAAAAGGGACUUUGCCUUACUGGGAUGAGGAGGAAGCACAGGUGCUCCAUGUGUAUCUCGGCUGGCUGAUUUAAGCAUGUUUGUGCAGUGGAUCGAGUCGGUGUCCCCAAGUCCCAUCCACUGUUGGGUUAGUGAAGCCUGCCUCCCUCUUUCUAGGGUGAUGAGAAUAAGAGGGCGAGUGAGGCUCAUGAAAACAGCCAGAUUUCCACUUGGGAAAGAACGGUAAAAUGAGCCUGACCACCUGUAGUCUUUUUUCUAGCAAUCUUCCUCCCACCCCACCUUUCACCCAAGCUGCCAGGGGAGGGUGAGCGAAGGAACAAACACCAUUUCACACCCGUUCCAGCACAGCCCAUCAUUAUAGGAAGUAGAGAGAAGGUUUGGAUUCGGAUUUUGUAAGGCUUACAUACUUCAGCAAUCUUCCCUCAUGGGGGGGGGGGGGGCAUCUCCCUCGAGGUGUUAGCUGUUCAACUAUAUUUAAGUACAUUAGAAGAUUUGAUUCUGUCAGCUCUUUUAUUACCUCAGAUCAUUUUUUUUUAAAGCAAGCCAAUAACAAGUUUCAAAGGCCAUUUUACCAUCCUUGCUCCCAAAAGACUCUUGUGGUGCCUGACAGGUUACUCCUGAGGGCUUGUGUCUACUUUUUCAAAAGUCAACAUGUUUAUGUGUGUGUGUGUGUGUGUGUGUGUGUGUGUGUGUGUGUUUUCAGUAAUUUCCAUAGUAAGAGAGAAAAUAUAGAAAUAUUAUGCAAAAAAUAUAGUUUUCUUUAGCUCAGAAACUGACAUUUACGAGUCAGCCAUAUAUGUAUAUAUAUAUAUUGUUUAAAGAAUUUCAAAUAAUGUGCCACCAUGCCACGCCGUGGAGAGGAGCACACCACCAGCUGUUUGGCAUGACAGGUGACUCAGUACGUUUGUAACUGGUUAAAACAACGACAGCAACCAAUAUACCAUACUUCCUUUUUCCAAACGGCCAUCUUUAUAUUUAGGGGAAAAAAAUUGUUGGGUUCUAGACUUUUUUUUAAUAUAAAUUUUGUUGAUAUGGAAUUGAGUGAGUUCAAGUGUUUCUGUGCAUAUGUUUUUAUAUGUUCUUGUCUAUUCAGUUUCAGUAAUCCAGGUGGCAGUGAGUAAAUAUGAUAUAAGUUAAUGACACUUUCCCCUAAAUGGUGCUCCGGAUUUGAAAGAGGUCUGAUGGGAGGAAGAGAAUAUAUCCUAGAGCCCUCUUUUGAUAAACCUGGACAAACGGGUAAAAACCUGCAGGUAGUGAGGGAAACACCCACAAAGAGGCUCCUUAGCUGUCUGUCAGGCCAUGGAUGGAUGCUGCCUUGGAGGAGAGCAGACUUGUUGGUACUCAGGAGCAAGGAUCAGUUGGGUUUCUGUUUCUUGAGGAAUUAGCAAACAGAGUAGUAUCAAUGAUGGCUGGUCUCUCCUAGUCAGCAAGGGUACUCUGACGUGGGGUCCGCAUUUCUUUAUGUUUUCCCCUUUCCCCUCCCCCUGGAGAGAUGCCACUAGUGAGGUUUUGUGUAUGACUCUGAGUUGUAACAUCCUGCUGUUUUUGUCUGAUACAGCAGGUGGGGGCCAGAGCUCCAAACUGGAAAAGAUCAAUGUAACAGCAAUGGUUACUUCUAGCUCUGUCUGACAGUCUCAGGACUAGGUCCUUCUCAACAGUUCUACGAUAUCCUCUGUGGCAGUUUUCCCAUCCCAAAAGUUGUAGGAGAGACCAGCUAGAAGCCUUCUGGGCACUUGUGGGUUCCCCAGGGUUGGAUUUCUUUUUGCCUUCAAGCUUUAGGGGAGAGUUUCAAAGAUCAAUCCGAGGGGUUACCUCACUGCUGAAAGCCCUAGGGAAGUUGAGUGUGCCAGAAUCCUCUCCCAGAUCCUCCUCUUUCUCCCCAUCCCCCUUGCCUUACAAUUGAAGCUACCUGUGGCACCAUCCCAAUCUGCACAUUCAAUCACUUUCUGCAUCUAGGGUCCACCCCAUGGCACUGGUAGGGGUGGGCCCUUGCAAUGCCUGCUGUUCUAAAGCCAUUCCAGCCUCCUCCUCAGAAUAGACCAGAUCCUCUCCCUCCCUUCCAUUUAGCUGAGAGCCAGAACUUUUGCCUUCCCAGGUCUACAGUUCUGCCUGCUGCCCCCUUUCUUCUUGGUUGGGAGAGGUGAUGGGAGGUGAGACCCCUGCAGCUGAAUGGGCCUUUGGCCCAGAGUUUCUCCCCAUAUGUAUAUAUGCCAUAUGUAAAUAAAUAUGCCACAUAUGUGCUGACAAAUCGCUCUACGCCAUCUUUUCUAAUGGGCAUGCAGAUAGGAAUUUUGAGUUCUUCUCAGCAACUGGUAUAAUGAGCACUGGUAUUUUUGUACAAAACUAAAAGGAAAAAAAAAAGAAAAUUGACUUUCGCGGUCUACAUGUCAGACAUUACGAUAUCAAAGCAAUGUGUAUCCUAGCGUGUGUGGCCGUAGUUUGCAGCUCAGCUGAACAGUGCACCCAAUCUGUAUUUGCAUUUGAUAUUAUUUAAGCUCUAUGUAUAAUGUUUUGCAUGUAUUUAUAUGGCUCUUGGGAGGGGGGGAUGCUAUAAACCGACAAAUCUGUACUACAAAUGUGUUCUCCAACUGACACGGGAAGAAAGGGAGUUUUAAAGGGUGUAACUUUUUGGAACCAAUAAAGCUUUCUGCUGAUGAACAGAAACCAACACCAUGCACUGAGAAUAAAAACCCUUGCCCACCUGUAAA